UCCGUGCACGCUGCCGUUGGAAAGCCCUGACUCAUACGCCCCCAGGUCAGCCACGGAGUCGGAAUGGAACAGUGCCUGGGGUGGAAGGAGGUGGUGAUAAGAAGAAUUAGAACAGGAGCAAAAUUCUGAUCAAGUUGCGUGGCCAGCAAAUAUGGAUUAAAAAGCCAGUUCCGUGAAAAGAUAAGAUCAGCCAUUUUCCAUGGUCAAGAGUUGGAGUCACGGAUUCGGUCCUUGAUUUCAAUGGUGGUUCUGGGGCCUGCAUUUCAAGCAAAAAGACUCAAGGCAGCGAAUGAUGCUAGGCUGUCCAGUCCUGAAGCUGCAAAAGGGCAUCUCAAGCAUGUCAAACCGGCAUGCCAAGCGUAAGGCGGCAAACAGGCAUGCCAAGCGUAACGAUCCCUGGCGGCAUAUCAGGCUCUGCUGGCCAGGCCUUCCCGGGCGUUUCAUGACUUGCUGCAAGGAGAAUCAAUCCGAGGGCACUACUUAUUCAAGGGCUGGCAGUGUCAACCCAAAGGACUGACUCUGCCUGCUACCCAGAGCAGCCAAAGCAACGUGAUGCGCCCCCGCCGAUCCACACACAGGAGAAUCUUGACACCCGAGCAUUUCCAACAGAUCGAACUGAAGCAAAUGGAGGGGAGCAGGCACAGCAGCUGGAGAUCAUCAAAGCUCAUGCCCUCUUCGCUCAUGACAGAUGCACCAGGAAAACUUCCAGAGGUGGGCGACAAAGGCCUCAAAUAGGGGUACUUUUGAAAUGUUCACCGAGCAUAGGCCCCGCAAGUUGCAAUCUUCAAAUUUUGGUUCAAAAUGUACUGCUCGCUCUUUCAAACGCACUCGAGCUUGACACUUGCAAAUGAUGGGGCACCUUCCUAAUCGGCCGCGGCGUGAACCCUACUUUUCCAGCAAGCACCCACCAUAUCUGACCAGCCAGAGCACCAAAAUGAGUGAUUUUUAGUGAUUUGGAGUCCUUGUAAAAAAAAAAUAUAUUUACAUAAAAAAUGGAGUGAAAAGACCCAGUGGUUGGUCAGGUACUGAAUUUCAGCCAUUUCCCUAAGAAAAAAUCCAGCACUAGGGGUGCCAAAAAAGUCAAUUUUUGACCUCCUUCAUUCCCACUUUUGAAUAUGCAGGAUGUUAGCAUAUCAUACAAGGGUUAUAAAAAAUAUUUUGGGGGUGAAAAAUGGUCCCAGGGUGGAGCUGUGGGCCAUUUUAGGGUGAUCUGAGGCCAGGAGAGUGAUCUGGGGUCCUCCGAUUUUCUUCAUUUUUGGUGAACAUAGUUUUUGUUGGUAUGAUAAUGGUUGGCAUGGUCAGAUUUGGAAAACAAUGGUGGGAAAGAACAUCUUGAGCGAUUUGGGCCCGCCGCCCACCUCUGGAAAACUUCAAAUGCAUGGAAAUCACCAAAACUCAUGCCCUCCUUGCUCAAGACGGCUGCAUCCAUCACGGUCUCUUGCACGUACCUGGAAAUCAUCAAAACUCAUGCCCUCCUCGCUCAUGACGGCAGCAUCCAUCAUCGUCUCUUGCACUGCUAGAUUCACCUGCACACAAAUGCAACAGACUGAAUGUGUUGUACACUGGCAGCUUUAAAAGACAUAGCAUCAUCAUCCUACUUGCACUGCAAGGUGCACCUGCACACAGCCACAGAAGACCGAAGGUGCUGUGCACUGGCACCUUCGAAAACGCAGCACCAUCUCCUUACUUGCACUGCAAGAUGCACCUGCAAACAAAUACAGUAGACCAAAGAUGUUGUGCGCUGGCAUCUUUGAGAGGCACAGUACCAUCUUUGCCCUCGCAAUGCGCACUUGCCAAUAUGGUACCACCUCCUGAGCAAGGGCGGGUGCGGGUUGGUUGGUCUUCCCUGGUACACCAUCUAUUUCUGUGCGACCAAACCAUCCAAGUCCAAAAAAAUUUGGACUGCUGACAGCUCUGCAGAGCGAGAUGCCUGUGCUCAUGCGCAAAGCGAGAAUGAUCCUCAGCGUCAGCCAAAAUGCGCAGACGGAAAAACAAAGUCCUAACCAGCAGAGGCAUCGCAAAAGCAAAACUGUCGAGUUUCAAAACACUUUGGUUCGCUCAACAGCAACAGCUGCUGGUGUCCGCACCUCCUCCUCAGGCAGCUUCUCUUUCAGGAUGGCCAGGAUCUCAUCCGCGCAGAUGCGGCC
rnacentral:lncRNA from 1 species